ACGUUUUUUUGUGUGGGUUUUAUAGUUUUGGUGAUAUUAUGGGUCUUGGUGAGGGAUUGAAUUGGGUUCGAAGGUUUUUAUUUGUUGAGGGAGGCGGGGAGUGCACAGAGAGCUAGAGGUGUGUGAUUUGCAGAAAUAGGGACUUGAGGACGAGAGAAACAAAAUAGGAAGAAUGCAAGACAAAAACGGAUUGGAUUCUUUUGUGCUUAGAUGUUUUUUAAAUUGAUUUAGGCUUUUGUUUGGAGAAGACAACAGUUGUUGACACAGAGAGUUUGGUUCUUGGUGUCUGAGAGAGGGACCUGGAUUCUUCUUUAAAGAGCAAAGAGACCUUUGAGACGGGGAAUUGGGUUCGUGGUGUCUGAGAGAGAGAGUUGGGUUCCAGUUUUGUGCCCUUUUUUUACCUAUUUGUUUGCUCUUAGUUCGCAUUUAUCAUUUGUGUUUUCAAUUUUUUGUUUGUUUGAUCUCUUAUAUGAAUAUGUUUUGUUCUUUGUUUGCAAUCGUGAUUAUUAAAGUGAUGUGUGUUUGUGUUUGUCGCAGGUCUAAUGUAUUGGAAAUGCUUUGACUGAUCAGGGGAUGUAAGUGAUAAGGUAUAAUGCUAAUUUGGUUCUUGAAGACAAUUUGGAGAAAAUCUCUUUGGUAUGGCCUAUAAAGAUUUGGUCUUGUAUCAAUGAAUGAUCGACCAACAACAGCUGCCAAAUGGGUUUUUGAGACUGAUUGGCCAAAAGAAGCUGAUUCACUUGCGGUUUGGAAAUAGGAGGACUAAUUUCAACUCAAGUAAUGUGCUGAUUUACAAUGUGUCCGACGAUACAACUAUGGAACCAAUAACCUCAAAUAUGUUGUCAAGAGAAGUCGCAAUAUCUUCCACUACUGUGUCAUCUUCGACCUCAACACCUGAAACAAGCGGCCAAUAGUAUAAACAAAAGUGGGAAUCUGUGAGGAGAGCUUUUUUAUUGGCGGCAGACAAAGCGAGGCAGAGGAAAUUUCAGAAGCUGAUCCAAAAGAAUUUGAUGAGGUCCUUAUCAAGUCAUUUAAAAAAAAUCACCUCCGACUGCUACAAAAACAGAUGCCAUUGCUUAAAAAAAGGACUAGCUUGCUUUCUCAAUGGCAAUAGUGUUGCGCCAAGACUUUAGCUACUUUGCUCUAAAAUGUUUUGACUUUUGUUUAAUGGUUUGUAAAUAUCAUUUUUUGCUCAUAAGCAGACAAUAUUUUUUGCACCUCCAUACACCGGCAUUUCCUAAUUUUUUGUAUACAAAUGUUGGUUUAGCUUUCAGAGCACAUAGGGCUAUUGAAGUAUAAUGUAUUGCUAUAACAUUUUUUGUAUAUGCAUAUGACAAUAUCCGCUAAUUUUUUGUAUCUGAAUAUAAUCAUUCUGAUCCAAAGAUGGUUGCAAUUGCUGCAAUUCAAUCGAUAACUGUGAUGUUUAUUCCUGUCUUCUCCGAAUUCAGCAUUUUCUCUAUAAAGCUUUUCCAAUUUGUCUGUUAUUACUGUUGUUGCUGCUCUGCAUAACACUUUUUCAAGUCUUGAACGUAGUAUUUGAUCUUGUUUUUAAACCCGCGGCAACGCGCGGAUACUAAUAGCUAGUGGAUUUUAUAAAGCAACUUUCACUUUGUCAUGUUAUCAGAUAGCCCAAUAUUGAUUUGUAGCCCUAAAGCUUUGAGAAUAAUUAUGGGCAUACCAGUCAUUGUGUGGUGAAAAAUGUAGUAAAUGUGAGCU